GACGAACGCUGGCGGCGUGCUUAACACAUGCAAGUCGAACGGAAAGGCCCUGCUUUUGUGGGGUGCUCGAGUGGCGAACGGGUGAGUAACACGUGAGUAACCUGCCCUUGACUUUGGGAUAACUUCAGGAAACUGGGGCUAAUACCGGAUAGGAGCUCCUGCUGCAUGGUGGGGGUUGGAAAGUUUCGGCGGUUGGGGAUGGACUCGCGGCUUAUCAGCUUGUUGGUGGGGUAGUGGCUUACCAAGGCUUUGACGGGUAGCCGGCCUGUGAGGGUGAACGGCCACAUUGGGACUGAGAUACGGCCCAGACUCCUACGGGAGGCAGCAGUGGGGAAUAUUGCACAAUGGGAGGAAGCCUGAUGCAGCAACGCCGCGUGCGGGAUGACGGCCUGCGGGUUGUAAACCGCUUUCGCCUGUGACGAAGCGUGAGUGACGGUAAUGGGUAAAGAAGCACCGGCUAACUACGUG
rnacentral:rRNA from 1 species